CUGCAGUCUCGGAAGUGCAGAUGCCAAUGGAAGCUGUUAGAAGUACAUCUCCCUUGAAGGUCACUCCUCCCUACCUCCCAGAACACAGGGGGAAAUCUCCCCAUUUGUUCUCCCUUCUGUACUGACGCCGCGUCACACCGGGCUGUCAUAUUUCAGCAGCAGAAAAUGUGCACAACAUACAAGAAUUUCUUGCAGCCUUGGUACAGAUCACGCAAUGAGCUGUCGGCAAGGAAACCUAAAAGACCUGAUUCUCCUCUGCUUUGCAACUUGUCACAUCAUAUAUACUUGUGCAAAGUACACAAGUGUGAACAGCUACAGGAGGCACAAGGCAUGGGAAAAAAAGCAGCUACAUGUUUCACCUGGUUUCUAGUUCCUGCAUCUUAUGAGGAAGGAUAGGAAUAUCCAUCACAAACAUGUAACAGUAACCCAAACAAAGAGCUGAAGUUUUCAUCCUCUGCCUGUGCUACCCUAUUUGCAGAGUGAGUUCUGCAAGAGGUUUUGAACCUUCAGAGUUAACAACAAACCAGCCUCCGCUAGGGGGGUUUUGGAGACAGGAUGUGCUUUAGUCAGUGCCAUUGAAGAAUCAACAGCUUUGUGGGUUUUGUGGUGAUAGGAAAACAUUCAGAGAAUUGGAUUCAUGGGUUGACAUAUUUUAACUAGAAACUUCAUAGCAAGAUACUCUUUCUGUCUCCAAAAUACUUUCUGGCACUGCAUUUCUGCUCACAGUAUUGCCAACAGCUUCCUAAAGUUAAUAUCCAUGCUUAACAGUGGCUCUGGACCACAAGACUCCUGGGUACCUCAGCUCAGAGCUCCUUUAGGAACCAAUAUAUGUCCCAUGUUUCCUUCAGCAGAAUGGAAUAUGAGGGAGUUCA